rnacentral:rRNA from 1 species
CGACCGGGUGAGUAACACGUGACUAACCUACCUUCAAGUGGGGGAUAACCUCGGGAAACCGGGGCUAAUACCGCAUAACAUCUCUGGAGCGGAAGAACUGGAGAUCAAAGGAGCAAUUCGCUGGAAGAGGGGGUCGCGGCUGAUUAGUUAGUUGGCGGGGUAAUGGCCCACCAAGACAGAGAUCGGUAGCCGGCCUGAGAGGGCGCACGGCCACACUGGAACUGAAACACGGUCCAG